UUUCAUGAGAGUUUGAUCCUGGCUCAGGAUUAACGCUGGCGGCGUGCAUAACACAUGCAAGUCGAACGAUGAAGAUUAUUAGACUUCUUCGGA
rnacentral:rRNA from 1 species